ACGUACGCUGGCGGCACGCCUAACACAUGCAAGUCGAACGAAGUAGCAAUACUUAGUGGCAGACGGGUGAGUAACAUGUGGGUAUCUGCCCUUUGGCCUGGAAUAACACGAGGAAACUUGUGCUAAUACCGGAUAAGUCUUUACGGAGAAAGCUUUAUGCACCAUUGGAUGAGCCCGCACUUGAUUAGUUUGUUGGUGGGGUAAUGGCCUACCAAGACUGUGAUCAAUAGCUGAUUUGAGAGGAUGAUCAGCCACAUUGGGACUGAGACACGGCCCAAACUCCUACGGGAGGCAGCAGUGGGGAAUCUUGCACAAUGGAGGAAACUCUGAUGCAGCGAUGCCGCGUGAGUGAAGAAGGCCCUUGGGUUGUAAAGCUCUUUCGUCGGGGAAGAAAAUGACUGUACCCGAAUAAGAAGGCCCGGCUAACUUCGUGCCAGCAGCCGCGGUAAUACGAAGGGACCUAGCGUAGUUCGGAAUUACUGGGCUUAAAGAGUUCGUAGGUGGUUGAAAAAGUUAGUGGUGAAAUCCCAGAGCUUAACUCUGGAACUGCCAUUAAAACUUUUCAGCUAGAGUAUGAUAGAGGAAAGCAGAAUUUCUAGUGUAGAGGUGAAAUUCGUAGGUAUUAGAAAGAAUACCAAUUGCGAAGGCAGCUUUCUGGAUCAUUACUGACACUGAGGAACGAAAGCAUGGGUAGCGAGGAGGAUUAGAUACCCUCGUAGUCCAUGCCGUAAACGAUGUGUGUUAGACGUUGGAAAUUUAUUUUCAGUGUCGCAGCGAAAGCGAUAAACACACCGCCUGGGGAGUACGACCGCAAGGUUAAAACUCAAAUGAAUUGACGGGGACCCGCACAAGUAGUGGAGCAUGUGGUUUAAUUCGAAGAUACGCGCAGAACCUUACCAACACUUGACAUGUUCGUCGCGACUCUAAGAGAUUAGAGUUUUCGGUUCGGCCGGAUGAAACACAGGUGCUGCAUGGCUGUCGUCAGCUCGUGUCGUGAGAUGUUGGGUUAAGUCCCGCAACGAGCGCAACCCUCACUUUUAGUUGCCAUCAUUAAGUUGGGCACUCUGAAAGAACUGCCAGUGAUAAGCUGGAGGAAGGUGGGGAUGACGUCAAGUCCUCAUGGCCCUUACGUGUUGGGCUACACACGUGCUACAAUGGUAUCUACAACAGGAAGCAAGACUGCGAGGUCAAGCAAAUCCUUAAAAGAUACCUCAGUUCGGAUUGCACUCUGCAACUCGAGUGCAUGAAGCUGGAAUUACUAGUAAUCGUGGAUCAGCGUGCCACGGUGAAUGCGUUCCCGGGUCUUGCACACACCGC
rnacentral:rRNA from 1 species